rnacentral:rRNA from 1 species
UACGGGGGGGGGCAAGCGUUUGUUCGGAAUUACUGGGCGUAAAGGGCUCGUAGGUGGCCAACUAAGUCAGACGUGAAAUCCCUCGGCUUAACCGGGGAACUGCGUCUGAUACUGGAUGGCUUGAGUUUGGGAGAGGGACGCGGAAUUCCAGGUGUAGCGGUGAAAUGCGUAGAUAUCUGGAGGAACACCGGUGGCGAAGGCGGCAUUCUGGACCGAUAUUGACGCUGAGGAGCGAAAGCCAGGGGAGCAAACGGG